UCCUCUAAAUACAUCAAUAGAAAACCAAAUGAUUAAAACACAGAAACUUUCAUUCAUUCAUCAUCUUCACAUUCCUAACAAAAUGUUGAAACAAAAUGCUACUGGUAACCCUAACCCCUAAAUUAAUGAAAUUCGCAGUUCCUUCUCUACUCGCGGAGAAGCAUUCCCUCUCUCUUUGUGUUCCUCCUUACUCACCUUGUUGUGCUCUCUUCAUGUUCCUCUCUACUCGAGGUUCGUCGUGCUAGUCAGGUUCUUCUCUUCGCCUUGUUUUGCUCGCGUUCCUGCUCUCGCCUUGUUAGCUUGCAUCAAUUCAGGUAGUAUAUUUUUUAGUUGAGUUUUUCUUUUUCUGGUGAGCUAUUUUUUCAUUUAUUUCUGUUUUAAACACAGUUUACCUUGUGUUCCUCUCUUUCUCUGUUCUUUACACUGUGUUGGUUACUACUCUCUGCAUUUUGCCGACAAAUUGCAUAGUACAAGAUCUGGUUUCGUUCUGCAUUUGAUCUGUAGCCAAACUUGUUUCGUUUCAUUAGGGCCGGUGUUCUUCUGCUAGGGUUCAUCACCGCUGAUCAUUGUUCUGCAGUUUCUGCUUCAUCGGCACCUUCCCUUCACUCUUGCGUCGCCUCAGCAUCGAGCGUGGUGCACUGCCGCCACACCAACUACAAACCCGUACCACCUGUGGAAGGAGAAGGAAGAGGAGAUUUUGAGGGACAUUGAGCCUGUGGUUACAUUAACCAAAGAUAUUCUUCACUCUCGAAGAGAGACGGCCCUUGAAAAUGCCAAGCAACUAAUAAGGAACUUAGAAAAAAAGCUUGACUCAGCUAAUGCUCAGCACCUUAAGAAGAAAGAAUAAUGGGGACUAAGCCUUAAAAAUGUAGAAGAAACAUGGCGAAUCAAAUGUGUCUCAAUGAAGGCUGAAAAUGAAGCAACUGCUGCACAAGAUAUGCAAAAGGAGUUGCAAGAGCUCAAACUGCAAUAUAAAAAAUUGAAGGAUGAACAUGCUUCAUUUCAUGAUAUUGCUAAUAAAAUGAUUGAGGAGAAGGAUAAUGAAAUAUCUAGACUUUCAGAUGAUAAUAGGAAUCUUUGUCAAUCUAUUCAAUCAAGACCACAGAGGUGGCUUAGCUUGGGAAGCUACCAACAAAAAUCUCAUAUUCAAUUGGAUAUUUAGGUUUGUGAUGUUUUUCUAUCCUGGAGGGAGUGAAUCACUAAGAAGCUAAUCAAUCCCAUGGCACGUGUUGUUUGGGCUGAUAGUGUAUGUGCUGGCACUUGGGACAGCUUCUCUUGGGUUCUUAGAGAAGCUCACAUUCCUGGAGAGCUCAGUAGGUGUGACUAAAUAUGGUUCAGAGGCACUCCUUGUAUACUUCACUGCCAUUGUCACAAUCUUGUUUGCUCCUAGCUAGACAACAAGCUCAAAGAGAAGAAGAACUAGCAUGAUCACAGCACCAUAUCUUAGCUCUUCAAGAAGAAAUUGAGGAGCUUGAACGAGAGAAUCCUCUCCACAGCCAACAGGUGUCGUGGAUCACUUAAUUAGUCAGGGAUUGAGUCUUUAAUUUUGGUAUGCAUUUACUGCUGAUCGUCUCUUUUGUUGUUUUAAUGCUUCACUCUAGCACUGGCUCACUUUUAUGUGUCUGUUAAACUUUCAUUGCAUAUUAUGCAUUCUUCUGUGCAAAUGUUGACUAUUUUCUUCUUUUUGUUAAUUAGUUAAAUGAUGGGAAUAAUGAUAAUGAUAUAUUGAGGGGUUCUGAAGCUUUAUUGCAUUAAAUUUUUCUUUUCAACUCUUAUUUUAUUUGUGUGCGUUUUUGGUAUAGGAGGAUCCUUAUCCUCCUGAGUCAUUGUAAUUCUUUCUCUUCAUUGUAGCAAUUAUAACCUUCCCUUUUUGUGGAAAGUUAACCAAUUCAUUUCCAAAGUUUCUGUCCUCCCAUCCAUUUAAGCAUUCAACUCUCUAAACUUGUAUGUACUUCAUUUGAUUAAAGUUAUGGAAAAGAGUCUUGUAUAUCAUACCUUAAUUUGUGAUCAACUGGUCGGCACAUCUGAUAAGAAAAAAACUA